rfam:Pyrenophora tritici-repentis Pt-1C-BFP supercont1.48 mitochondrial scaffold, whole genome shotgun sequence.
UUCUUAUUAGUUUAAUGGUAGAACAAGAUAUUCCUAAUAUCCUAAUCUAAGUUCGAGUCUUAGAUAAGAAU